UCCCUGGAGGACUAGUGGUUAGGCCAUGGCACUCUCACUGCCAUGGCCCAGGUUCGAUUCCUGGCCAGGAGA
rnacentral:tRNA from 1 species